UUAUCCCUUCACUAUAAAUUGGCUCAUUCCAUUAACCCUUUCAACCACAAUUAUCAAAUCUAUAUCCCCUCACAAUAAAUUUGGCUUAAUCCAUAAUCCUUUUCAAUCUAAUCAUCAAAUCUAUAUCUAUAUACACUUCACUGCUCUUUGAAUAGUUCUUGAAUCAUUUUAUCAAUGACUAUGAGUCCAAAACUAGCCUUUGCCAUUGGGAAUAUUGCUAACCAUUUCAUUCAACCAAAUUGUUUUCGGCGACAUCGGGACCGCUAGCUCCUACAACCCUCCUUACACACCUACAAGGUGCAAUGGCAAUAGAGCCGACCAAUUCCCAUUAGGACAACGGCGCCGCCUGCGGCCUCCGGUGCCUUAGCGGCAACAAGCGGCCUUGCAAGGGGGACGUGCGGGUGGUUGAUUUUUGCACCCGCAGGCCAUGCCCUUCGACUAUAGUGAUGUCGACUGACGCCUUCGCCGCCUGUCUCCAAAUCCCCGGAUGCUAAAAUCAACAUCAAAUUUAUCCAGAUUUGGCAUCAAAUAUGGGCAUUGCAUUGCGUGUUUGCUGUGGAGAAAGUAAUUUAAUUUGGAGGUGUAGCUUAUUUGAAGUAAUACUCCUACUAGUAUAUGAAUUUGAAAAGAUGUGUUUCGUAUCUUUAUUAGUAGUAAUUUAUUGUGUGUUGGAGGUGUAUGACUCUUACUAUGAUUAAUUAUGUGUUUCCUAAUAUCUACACCUCUAUUUUUGUAUCUUGGACGAUGGGCUUAAGGCCCAAUUAACUCCUCAAAAUUCAUCUUCUCAUAUUAACCAAAUUUUAAUUAAUUUCGACCAAAUCCUCCAAACUAAAUCACCAGCCCACCAUCUGUUCGACCAAAUUCCCCAACCAACUCCAUUUUCAAAAUUCCUAUCACAAAUGGCGCGUUGCCAGCAACGAGAUUCAGUUCAUCAGUCUCCCGCCACCAAAUCCGAGCUCUUUCCCAGCAGCAGUCGAAGCAAAAGCAUACCGCCUAAUCCCCCAAAUCCUCAACGGAGCCUUGCCGCAACCCUAACCCCUUCACAUUCCUCUCCAAAUUCCCCGAGCGCCGCCGAAACGAAACCAUCGACCAAAUCCUCCAAUCCUUCAUCCCAAUCCGGUCGCGGCGGCGAUGUGUGGAAGGGGGUUUAUACCGUUUAUACGGGCGAGGCAGAGGGUGGUGGAGGGGUUGGUGAGGUGGAGCAUGCUGCUGUUGUGAGGAGGAGGUUUGCAGGGAUGAGUUCUUAGGAAUUCUAUACGACGAAGAAAUCGUGUGGCGAAGGGGGUUCUUGUUUGUAGGAAUGGUAGUUCGGACUUGGAACGAGCAUGGAUUGAUGGGUCGCGAACUGGGAUUCGAUUGAUGACGAAGAAAGAGAAUUCUUGGUUCUGUUCUCGGACUCAUGGUGGAAAAAGGGAUGGAUCAAAUUAUAUUGCACAACGUAUAGUAUUUGUUUUGGAUCGUGGACAGUGAUUCGAUUCGUGACGAAGAAAGAGAAUUCUUGGUUCUGUUUUCUGCCGAUGAUGGAAAUCAAGGAUUGAUCAAAUUCUAGUGCACAGCGUAGAUUUGUUAUAGAUUCGUUUGUUUGUUUUGAGUCUUGUUCGAGCCGGACAUGAUACAAGUUUAUCAUGUCCGACCGGUUUCACCGGGCAUCCUGUAUAUUGCUGAAUAGAACUCUCACUCUGCAUAAAUUGGGCAUACAGGCAUCCCAGCCCAGUUUAGUCUUGCUAUAGAAAUGGACAUUUUGUGUUGAGUUUUG